rnacentral:rRNA from 1 species
AUUCGUAGGUGACAAGCGUUAUCCGGAUUUACUGGGCGUAAAGGGCGUGUAGGCGGUCUUGCAAGUCAGAAGUGAAAUUCCUGAGCUCCACCGGGGAGGGUCAUUGGAAACUGGAGAACUUGAGUGCAGAAGAGGAGAGUGGAAUUCCAUGUGUAGCGGUGAAAUGCGUAGAUAUAUGGAGGAACACCAGUGGCGAAGGCGGCUCUCUGGUCUGUAACUGACGCUGAGGCUCGAAAGCGUGGGGAGCAAACAGGAUUAGAUACCCUGGUAGUCCACGCCGUAAACGAUGAGUGCUAAGUGUUGGAGGGUUUCCGCCCUUCAGUGCUGCAGCUAACGCAUUAAGCACUCCGCCUGGGGAGUACGGCCGCAAGGCUGAAACUCAAAUGAAUUGACGGGG